rnacentral:lncRNA from 10 species
AACUAUUGUGUUUGGGGUUCCAUGGUUAUGAGAUAAAACUAUAAAGAAAAGCAAGGAAAUAAUUAUCACUGAAGUUAAGGUAAUAAUUACUUUGGAAAGGAAAUAGGCAGUGAUUGGGAGGAAUCACCAGUGAGAUUCCUGGAAUAUUGGCAAUUUUGUAUUUCUUGACCUGGGUGUUGUUUUGUGAUAUCUCAUCAAGCUGUUUUGUACACAUUACUGCCUGCACAUUAGACUGACCCAGGAAGAAGUAGAAAGAUUGGAUAAACCAAUAACUAGAGAGGAAACUGAAAUGCUAGGCGAGACCUACUUUCCAAAAGGGACCAGAUCCUACGACUCUAUGGCUAGGGUCUAUCAGGCUUUUAAGGAAGAAAUAUUUCCUCCCUUAUACACAUGUUACUGUGCUAACACCACCCUAUACCAGAGCUAAUGAGGAGAGCACAAGAAAUAAAAUACAGGCUAAGCUCAUUUAUAGAAAGAUACCAAUGUUCUACAUACAAUACUAGCAAAUCCAAUCUAGCAAUUUAUCAAAUGCAUAAUGAUCACAACCAAGUCAAGUGUAUUUCAGGAAUGAAAGGGUUUUCCAACACCAGAAUAUCUAUAAUGUAAUCCACCAGAGACGUGAAAUAAAGGAGGAAGAUGAUACGAACACUAACUUGGUGGAUGCCAUAGAAGCAUUUCUAUGUGGUCUGUCCAUACAAUGAGAAAUUAUUCGGCCAUAACAAGGAAUGAUGUACUGAUACAUAAUACAGCAUAGAGGAACCUUGAAAACACACUAUUGAAAGAAGCUAGACACAAAAGGUCACAUAUAGUAUGAUUCCAUUUCUAUGAAAUGUCCAGAAUAGUCAGAUGUAUGGAGACAUAAUUAUUCUAUACCAGCAAUAACAAAAAAACUCCUCAACCCAGUGAGGUUCCAGAAAUGCAGGCAUGGUCCAUUAUUAGGAAUUGUACCAGCUGGGCGCGGUGGUUCAUGUAAGAAUAUACUAUAAAAUCAAAAAUGUUAAUACGUUAACAACUACAAAAUCUUUAGAUUAUAAGGAGACUCCAAUUCCAAAUCGUAGAACAAAGAUUCUGGUUACAACCAGGAUGGUUACCGUGGUUUACACUUUGGGGGGAACUGGAACACUCUGAGCCAUCCCAAAGUGAUGAUGUGCCAACAAACGAACGAUUUGAUUAUAUAAGUAACACACAUUCACUGUAGAAAAAGUAGAGACUAGCAAGAAGCAA